CUCCCCCUCCACGCGCCAGUCAUUUGUCUCCCUGGCCCCUCCUAAGUUCUAUCCCCAACGCCCACCAUUCCUCUUUUCACUUUGAUAUUACAAGUGUGGGACUCCCAUUCUCCUUUCCAUUCCUUAAAACCUCCUUCUCCUCCGUGGGCCCUCUCUGGAGCUCACAGUCACUGCCACAUAAAGACACACAGACAACAACAGGAAGCCAGGAAACUUGUCUGAGAGAGAAUAUGCAGUGUUUAUCUUUCAGAUCCAGAGUUACCUAACAAUAUAGUCUCCAGUUUUUAUACAUUUUCCUGAAUAUUUCAUUUUUUUUUCCUUCACAAGCGAAUACAUCUCCCCGUGUACACGUACCAGGUUUGACAUGCUGUUUGUAACGAGUAAGAAAUCAAGGCAAAAAUUAGGUGUUUCCUUACCCAACCAUUGGACACAUUGAUGGAUAAAAGUUCUUGUAGCAGAGGAAAUUCUCCACAGCACCCUGGUCAGCAAAGGUGUAGUUGAGAGGACAAUAUGCGCCCAUUAAAAGUCACAGAUAAUCCAAUCAGCCUGGAAAACUAGUACGGAAUGUCAGCUGUCCCGUAUUUCAGACUCCUCUCUAGAGUCCAUCAGGGACAGGAUCUGGAGAAGAAGGACAGAUUUAACAUGGGCCAUGUGGACUGCUCAGCAGUGUAACUCAGGAGUUACAACUCACCUCCUGUGCUAUCUGUAGGCUGUGUGGAGCACUGGGGGUUGGAACAGGCAGAGAGAGAACCAGGGCUCAGAAGAAAUAAAACUCACGGUGCUGAAGGAGUGGAAGAGGUCAGCCUGCUCUGGCGAGUGCUGCUGUCGGGUUGGCCGUCGCUGGUGCUACUUAACUGUGGAAGUGGUUCAUCCUUAUCAUUGGCCAUCUGCUGUUUAAAUCCACCUUUCCAUCGAGGGAGUGAUUGGCAUCUCAUUUCAGAACCUUCAAUUCCCUUUAAAACUCCACUCAAAAUACACGGGACCUUUUACGACACCACUCACAUCCUUAGGGGAGCGUGGAGAAAUUUCACCAGCACACCGUAAUUGGCCGUACCGAAAAACUUCCGGCACUUGACUCCAAACCUUCACGUUGUCUAGGACAUUCUCAUGAAGAAGUCGUCUGGGGAAACUCAGCAAUUAUUGUUUUUGAAAAGUGGUCCCAGUGGGGAUGAGGUGGAUACCUAACUCUUUUAAUUUAGGUUCUGUCUCUUGAGCCUGGCAUCCAAUAUUAGUGACAGAGUAAACAGUAUCUUCCAAAGACUGACAGGGUCAGCUGCUCUGGGAAUGUGGGCGUGACCUCUCCGGUGGAUUAUCAUCUUGCUGGCUGAGUCCAAGUCCAUGGAAAGGUAAGCAUUCUUUUCCUAAGUGCAAGUUGCUUUGGAACAUGCUUCAAAUUGCACUGAUAAAACUGGAC
rnacentral:lncRNA from 1 species